UACUUCUCCAGAAGGGGCGUGACUGACAGAGGGUUCAACCCAGGUCCAGUGGCUCUGAGGUCCUGUGCUUCAUAAAGUGUAUGUUUUGCAAAAACACUGAGGUUCUCCCAGUUGUGCAGAGGUAAGCUGCCCGUUUUCAUGGAGUAGAUCCUUUACUUGAAGUUCACUGGGUUGUUGUUGGUUCCAGCUCAUUAGAGAACUAAUGUUUAUGCAGCUUAUAUAGAACAAUCGUCUCUACUCAGAAACUUGCCCCAGUGGGGGCAAGCUGCCACACAUGGGCAUACGGCUCGGAAGGCUGGGUUUCCCUCUGCCUGAGUGUUCAGGCCCUCUACAGCCCCACCUCAGCUGGCGCUGUGGGCUGUGGUUCCGCUGACCUCCCAACCUGUCCUUCGGGUCCAGUUGAACAGAAAUAUUACUUGUUACCCAAGCAAUUUUCAGCCUCACCAUGACUCUAGCUUCUUUCAUCUGCACGAAGUGCUGAGGCAGAAGGACACAGAGAGGCAGAGAGAAAAGGAGACCCUUCAUUCAGUAUCUAUAGCUCUUUCAAGUCAUUCCGAGUUAGCCUCCCACACAGGGGUUAGCAGCACUCAUGCCCGCGGUGAGAGGGUGCCUCUCCCUCUCCAAAAACACUACUACUUGCCAGAACUGACUCAGAAACAGUGAAUCUGGAUCUGUACAUGGAAAAAGUCCAAAUUACUAUUUAAAAAAUUAAACCACCACCAUCUACUUACUGGAUAGCUUUGAACUCCUAGAUCUUUAUGGUAGACCUUCAUCCACCAUUCCAUACUCCCUGACCUCCACCAUCACGCACUCUAACCUCUGCCAUCACCUCCCUCACUCACUCCCUGACCUCCAUUAUCAUUCACUCUCAGACCUCCACCAUCACUCACUCCCUGACCUCCACCAUCACACACUCCCUGACCCCCACCAACACACACUCCCUGACCUCCACCAUCACACACUCCCUGACCUCCACCAUCACACACUCUAACCUCUACCAUCACACACUCCCUGACCUCCACCAUCACUCACUCCCUGACCUCUACCAUCACACACUCCCUGACCUCCACCAUCACACACUCCCUGACCUCCACCAUCAUACACUCCCCGACCUCUGCCUUCACUCUCUCCCUGACCUCCACCAACACACUCAUUAUACGCCCCUUGAAUUUCUAUUAUCACACACUCCCUGCCCUCCUCUAUUGUACACUCAACUGAGCCACAGUUUCUUGACCAGCUGUCAUAUUGCAUCCCUGGUGAGGAACCAGGAUUCUAAUAUAAACCCCACUUUGGCCUCCUUUUGAAGAAGAGAAACUGCCAGAGACAGAAAAGAACAGGGGAUUUUUAAAAUGGGAAGUCUGAAUUGCCAAGAAAAUAUGAGAAGAUGCUCAGCCACCCUUUAAUUCAGGAAAAUGUGCAUGGAAAUCACAGUGUGAUACCCUUUACAUCCACGAGCUUGGCAAACAUUAAAAGUGGGCAGUACUAAAAGCUGACCCCUCAUGGAGAAAUGGGCACCCUCACACAGCGGUGAGAUGCACAGCAGAUCCCAGAGCCCGGUCCCCCGGCAUCACGUUGGAACAUGAAGGGAGUGGGCAGGUCUCCAGUUCCUCCACUCCUUUGUGUACUCAGACUCCAACACUGGAGUCCUGGGAGCCAGUCCAGGGAGACUGUGGAAGAAUGUUGACUGCAGCACUGCCUAUAAGAACAUCUGAACAACUGUUCAUGGAGCUCCAUCCGCAGGGAGAUGCACUUGUAAAGAACAAACUCAGUGUAAUGCAAUGUCUUAUAAUAGGGAGAUAGGCCGCAUUGUACGGAGCAAAGAGGCCCAAUUGAUAACUGAGUUACAAAGCGCGGAUGCAGCUCUGGUGAGAAGAACAGGACAGGAAGAGUGCCCCAGAAAAGGGAGCCGCGUGUGUCAACAUACAGAGGCAUGAAAGAGCUUGUGUCAGGGAAGUUCUGUGUGCCUGAGUUACCUGGAAACGAAGGGGGCAUUUAGGGGAUGAGAUGAGACAGAGAGGCAUGGCGGGAGAGGGGUGACAGCUUGGAUCCCAGCUGAGGAGGUCAGGCCUUACCCUGCAGCCUUUUCCAGGUUUCAAGGCCAAACUCUCAGACUGCUGUUAAAGGGAAAUCAUUCUGGGGGUGUUAUGGACACAGCAGGGUGAGGUAGCAGGGGUGGGUGAGGGGCCAUAGAUGGAGCUGCUGGGGCCUGCGGUGGGCAGAGGACUCCAGAGCAGAGAUCAGGGACUCCUAGGGUGCUUGGGAGCACAGAGGACUGUGCCUCGGACCUCUUCCUAGGGUAAGCAAAUGCCAACAAUACCUGGUGUCACUGAAAAAAUAGGACAAUAGAAAGAAACAAGGGGAAGGGUGCCACAUUUGGAGACUCUGAAAAGGCAAAACAACCAAUGGAAGCUUUGUUAGAUGCUGCUUCAGGGCCAAAAACCAACUGUAAUAGACAUUUUGGGGGCCAUUGGGGACAUCUGCAUAUGGCAGGAUAGUAGAUAAUCCUAGGGAAGUAUGGUUGAUCGUUUGCGUAGGAUGAUGUUAUUUUGGCUAUGUGAAAGAAUGUCUUGUCCUGGUGCAGUGGUUCACACCUGGAAUCCCAGCAGUUUGGGAGGCUGAGGCAAGAGGAUGCCUUGAGCCCAGGAGUUCGAGACCAGCCUGGGCAACAUAGUAAGACCUUGUCUUUACAAAAAAUGAACAAAAAUUAGCUAGGCGUGGUGGCGCACACGUGUAGUUCCAGCUACUCAGGAGACUGAGGUGAGAGGAUUGCUUGAGCCCCAGAGGUAGAGGCUGCAGUGAACCGAGCAACAGAGGGCAACAGAGAAAAACCCUGUCUUAAAAAAAAAAAAAAAGAAAGUCUUUACUUUCAGGAGAGGUGUGUUGAAAUACUUAGGUCUGUAGCAUCAUAACUCAGUAGUUUAGUUUCAAGCAGUUCAG
rnacentral:lncRNA from 1 species